rnacentral:rRNA from 1 species
ACGAACGCUGGCGGCAUGCCUAACACAUGCAAGUCGAACGAGACCUUCGGGUCUAGUGGCGCACGGGUGCGUGACGCGUGGGAACCUGCCCUUAGGUUCGGAAUAACUCCCCGAAAGGGGUGCUAAUACCGGAUAAUGUCUUCGGACCAAAGAUUUAUCGCCUUUGGAUGGGCCCGCGUUGGAUUAGCUAGUUGGUAGGGUAAAAGCCUACCAAGGCGACGAUCCAUAGCUGGUCUGAGAGGAUGAUCAGCCACACUGGGACUGAGACACGGCCCAGACUCCUACGGGAGGCAGCAGUGGGGAAUAUUGGACAAUGGGCGAAAGCCUGAUCCAGCAAUGCCGCGUGAGUGAUGAAGGCCUUAGGGUUGUAAAGCUCUUUUACCCGGGAUGAUAAUGACAGUACCGGGAGAAUAAGCGCCGGCUAACUCCGUG